GCUAGCGGCGGUGCUGCAGAGGGUGUAAGAGGAUGGGGUCGAGCGGUGUUCGGAAGUACUGGGCGUACAGCGCGCGUAGGUGGUGAUGUUGGUUGAGUGGGAAGGCCGGUGGAGCAAGUUGGGAAUUGAAUGUGGAGCUGGGUGGCUUUAGGGCGGGAGAGGAGAGGGGAAUUCCCAGUGUAGAGGUGAAAUUCGGAGAUAUUUGUAAGAAGACCGGUGGCGAAGGCGGCUCGCUGGACUGAUACGGACGCUGAGGCGCGAAAGCGUGGGGAGCAAACAGGAUUAGAUACCCUAGUAGUC
rnacentral:rRNA from 1 species